UACGGAGGGUGCAAGCGUUGUCCGGAUUUAUUGGGUUUAAAGGGUGCGUAGGCGGCUUUUUAAGUCAGUGGUGAAAUACAGCAGCUCAACUGUUGAGGUGCCAUUGAUACUGAAGAGCUUGAGUACAGAUGAGGUAGGCGGAAUUUAUGGUGUAGCGGUGAAAUGCAUAGAUACCAUAAAGAACACCGAUUGCGAAGGCAGCUUACUAAGCUGUAACUGACGCUGAGGCACGAAA
rnacentral:rRNA from 1 species